AGAGUUUGAUCAUGGCUCAGGAUGAACGCCGGCGGUGUACCUAAUACAUGCAAGUCGUACGCACUGGCCCAACUGAUUGAUGGUGCUUGCACCUGAUUGACGAUGGAUCACCAGUGAGUGGCGGACGGGUGAGUAACACGUAGGUAACCUGCCCCGGAGCGGGGGAUAACAUUUGGAAACAGAUGCUAAUACCGCAUAACAACAAAAGCCACAUGGCUUUUGUUUGAAAGAUGGCUUUGGCUAUCACUCUGGGAUGGACCUGCGGUGCAUUAGCUAGUUGGUAAGGUAACGGCUUACCAAGGCGAUGAUGCAUAGCCGAGUUGAGAGACUGAUCGGCCACAAUGGAACUGAGACACGGUCCAUACUCCUACGGGAGGCAGCAGUAGGGAAUCUUCCACAAUGGGCGCGAGCCUGAUGGAGCAACACCGCGUGAGUGAAGAAGGGUUUCGGCUCGUAAAGCUCUGUUGUUGGAGAAGAACGUGCGUGAGAGUAACUGUUCACGCAGUGACGGUAUCCAACCAGAAAGUCACGGCUAACUACGUGCCAGCAGCCGCGGUAAUACGUAGGUGGCAAGCGUUAUCCGGAUUUAUUGGGCGUAAAGCGAGCGCAGGCGGUUGCUUAGGUCCGAUGUGAAAGCCUUCGGCUUAACCGAAGAAGUGCAUCGGAAACCGGGCAACUUGAGUGCAGAAGAGGACAGUGGAACUCCAUGUGUAGCGGUGGAAUGCGUAGAUAUAUGGAAGAACACCAGUGGCGAAGGCGGCUGUCUGGUCUGCAACUGACGCUGAGGCUCGAAAGCAUGGGUAGCGAACAGGAUUAGAUACCCUGGUAGUCCAUGCCGUAAACGAUGAGUGCUAGGUGUUGGAGGGUUUCCGCCCUUCAGUGCCGGAGCU
rnacentral:rRNA from 1 species